AAAGCAUCAAGAGUGGACGUAAGUCCCGCCAACCUGCUUACCCAAGCAAGGUGGUUGAGAAUGUGGCCUUUAUGGCAACUAAAUGGGU
rnacentral:ncRNA from 1 species